rnacentral:rRNA from 1 species
GACGAACGCUGGCGGCGUGCUUAACACAUGCAAGUCGAACGGAAAGGCCCUGCUUGCAGGGUACUCGAGUGGCGAACGGGUGAGUAACACGUGGGUGAUCUGCCCUGCACUUCGGGAUAAGCCUGGGAAACUGGGUCUAAUACCGGAUAGGAGCCAUUUUUAGUGUGAUGGUUGGAAAGUUUUUUCGGUGUAGGAUGAGCUCGCGGCCUAUCAGCUUGUUGGUGGGGUAAUGGCCUACCAAGGCGGCGACGGGUAGCCGGCCUGAGGGGGUGGACGGCCACAUUGGGACUGAGAUACGGCCCAGACUCCUACGGGAGGCAGCAGUGGGGAAUAUUGCACAAUGGGCGCAAGCCUGAUGCAGCGACGCCGCGUGGGGGAUGACGGCCUUCGGGUUGGAAACUCCUUUCGCUAGGGACGAAGCUUUUUGUGACGGUACCUAGAUAAGAAGCACCGGCUAACUACGUG